rnacentral:lncRNA from 1 species
AGCUGUUGCAUUUCUUAGUCUUAAGAUGUUCACUCUGACACUGGAAUUUGAGAAAUGUCUGUUCAUUAAUAGCUUCAAGUUUACAGCAGCCCCUGAAUGCAGCCUUCCAUUCUGAACCCAACAAUUCAAUGGGAUGAACAAGCAACUAAAUCUACAUUAUGGUGGUGGUGUCAGUGAUGGAACAGGCUCCUGCAAAGUCUGACGAAUAUCUUUCCUUGCAGAUAUUCAAAGUGCUACUGGAUGUGACCAGGAGUAACCUGAUUUAACUUUGGCAUUAGCCUUGGUUUGAGUGAGAGAAUGGAGCAGAUCCGAUGACCCCCAGAAGUCCAUCCCCACUUGAAUUUUGCUAUGAUUCUGUAUGGAGACCUCAUUCUCUUGGAGGAAUCUUUAGAAACAAACAAUCCAGGCAGAGGAACAAAUACAAACCCCUGCAACCUCAGAUGGGGGGUAACUUCUUUUUAUUAAGGUAGUCUUCACUUCUGUCUUCAGUGGAAAAUUUAGGGCAAGAUAUACAUACCUUCUGUUUAAGUUUAUACCAAAAUGUAGGCUUUAAGUGCUUAUGGGUUUUAUUUUUUAACAAAAGUCUCUUUGUUCUUUGAGAAGCUCCACUCAGUAUCAUAAUAAUAAAAAUCAUGUUUAAUUGUUUGUUUGCA